UAGUCAAUUCCCAAUCCAGACAUUCAGUGGUCCUGUCAGGCCAACUUAACAGGCUGGUUUUAUUUCCUUCUGGUAGACAAGGAGAUGACAAUGAAUGAUUUUUUUUAAGCUGUAAAUAUGGUUAUUGGUUUGCUCUACUUGAACUUCAGUUGAAUUCAAGUUCAUAUAAUACCCAUCUGAUCGUGUCCUUGCCAUUGGCAGCUUGUGCUGUAGACUGAAUGUCUGUAUUCCCCUGAAAUUCCUGCGUUGAAUCCCAACCCCCAGUGUGAUGGCAUUAAGAGGUAGGGGCCUUUGGGAGGUGAUUAGGUCAUAAGGACAGAGCCUCUUGAAUGGAAUUUGUGCCCUUAUAAAAGAAACCCCAGGGAGCCCCUCACCCCUCCUACCAUGUGAGGACUCAGUGAGAGGACAGUCAUCUAUGACCCGGGGAGCAGAACUUCACCAGAUACUGAAUAUGCUGGGCCUUGAUCUUGGACUUCCCAACAUCCAGAACCGUGGGAAAUAAAUUUCGGUUGUUUAUAAGUUACCCAAGGCUAUGGUAUUCUCUUAUAGCAGCCCAAAUGGACAAGACACCUGCCACACCAUAGGACCUUAUUUUAAUCUUUACUGAUCUGCAUGUUACACAUGAAAAAAACAAAGCUCAGGAAUAUAAAAAAUUACCCAAAGUAACCUGUUUGGUUACUUUUUAAGUUUAUUUAUUUAUUUUGAGAGAGGGAGAGAGAGAUCAUGAACAGGGGAGGGGCAGAGAAAGAGGGAGAGGGAGAAUCCCAAGCAGGCUCUGUGCUGGCAGCAAAGAGCCCAGCUCAGGGGCUUAGGCUCAGGAACUGUGAGAUCAUGAAAAGAACUUUUUUUUUUUUUUACGUUUUUAUUUAUUUAUUUUUGACAGAGAGACAAAGAGCGCAGGGGAGGGGCAGAGAGAGAGGGACAGAGAGAGAAUCCCAAGCAGGCUCCAUGUUGCCAGCACAGAGCCAGAUGGGGGCUUAAACUCACAAACUGUGAGAUCGUGACCUGAGCCCAAACCACCAGUGGAACACUUAACCGACUAAGCCACCCAGGCGCCCCAAAAAAACAACUCUUAACAAUAGAACGAUAUAAACAAAUGCUAAAUGGAUAUUUAAAAAUUUCCUUUCUUCAAAAUAAUUUUAUUUUUUAGUUUAAGUGUCAUAGGUCAGUACCAGUGAGAAAAAAAAAUAAAAUUGUGUGUGUGUGUG